CACUGUUCGCAUACAAGUUCAAAGGGUUAUUGUCACCAAUUUAACUAAUCCUUACCGAGAAUACUAAAACAUGCCAAAAUUUACUUAACGUAAAACAUAAAAUACUAGACUAUCCUCAUUUUGGCAAGGACAGGGGUUGUAUUUCUUCACCCACAUGUUUUUAGCUCAAUGUAAUCCAACAUACAAUUGUUCUUACUUUUGGACUGUAAUCAAGCUUAAGUGUUAUUGAAUAGUAAAACAUAUUUCUUAUUGCAGUAUAGUCAAUAAUCUUUUACAACUUAUACUAUUAUACAUGUUAUAGGGAUUGAGCAGUAGCAUGUCUCUUUUACAUUAGUACAAGAGAAGUAUAUAUAGUAUAUGGUAUGACAGUCCUGUUCUAUUACCAAAACGAGGUAAUAAG